UACGUAGGGUGCAAGCGUUAAUCGGAAUUACUGGGCGUAAAGCGUGCGCAGGCGGUUUUGUAAGUCUGUCGUGAAAUCCCCGGGCUUAACCUGGGAAUGGCGAUGGAGACUGCAAGGCUAGAGUUUGGCAGAGGGGGGUAGAAUUCCACGUGUAGCAGUGAAAUGCGUAGAGAUGUGGAGGAACACCGAUGGCGAAGGCAGCCUCCUGGGCCAACACUGACGCUCAUGCACGAAAGCGUGGGGAGCAAACAGG
rnacentral:rRNA from 1 species